rnacentral:rRNA from 5 species
CGAUAAGCGUCGGGGAGGUGCGAAUACCCUUUGAUCCGACGAUUUCCGAAUGGGGCAACCCACCUUAGAUGACUAGAAAAUCUGUUUUGUUGGAGCAACGCUGGAUGGGUUUACACCCAUACAGACCGCUAGGUCGUCGGCCCAUGUGGGCCGCCCCCGCGGAGCGCCAGCAUUCCUCUGGAAUGCGUACGGCGCGUGAGCGAGAACAGCACAGCUUUCUAGUCAUCAUAAAUAAGGUAUCUAACCUUGAAUACAUAGGGGUUAGAAGCGAACCUGGGGAACUGAAACAUCUAAGUACCCAGAGGAAAGGACAUCAAACGAGACUCCGCUAGUAGUGGCGAGCGAACGCGGACCAGGCCAGUGGCUUUUGUGAAUAAAGUGGAACGAGUUGGAAAACUCGACCGAAGUGGGUGAUAGUCCCGUACACGUAGAAUAGCAGAAGUCCUUGAGUAGGGCGGGACACGUGAAAUCCUGUCUGAACAUGGGUCGACCACGAUCCAAGCCUAAGUACUCGUGCAUGACCGAUAGCGAACCAGUACCGUGAGGGAAAGGUGAAAAGCACCCCGACGAGGGGAGUGAAACAGUACCUGAAACCGGAUGCCUACAAACAGUUGGAGCCCAAGGUUUGUCCUGGGUGACAGCGUACCUUUUGUAUAAUGGGUCAGCGACUUAGUGUAUCGAGCAAGCUUAAGCCGGUAGGUGUAGGCGCAGCGAAAGCGAGUCUGAACAGGGCGUUCAGUUCGAUGCAUUAGACCCGAAACCAAGUGAUCUAGCCAUGAGCAGGUUGAAGGUACGGUAACACGUACUGGAGGACCGAACCCAUAUCUGUUGCAAUAGAUCGGGAUGACUUGUGGCUAGGGGUGAAAGGCCAAUCAAACUUGGAGAUAGCUGGUUCUCCGCGAAAUCUAUUUAGGUAGAGCGUCGACCGAAUACCCCCGGGGGUAGAGCACUGGAUGGGCUAUGGGGACUCACCGUCUUACUGAUCCUAACCAAACUCCGAAUACCGGGGAGUACUAAUCGGCAGACACACGGCGGGUGCUAACGUCCGUCGUGGAGAGGGCAACAACCCUGACCACCAUCUAAGGUCCCUAAGUUAUGGCUAAGUGGGAAAGGAUGUGAGGAUCCCAAAACAACCAGGAUGUUGGCUUAGAAGCAGCCAUCAUUUAAAGAAAGCGUAACAGCUCACUGGUCUAAAUAAGGGUCUUUGCGCCGAAAAUGUACCGGGGCUCAAGCCAUACACCGAAGCUGUGGAUGCACGUAUGUGCGUGGUAGCGGAGCGUUCCGUAAGCCUGUGAAGGGACAGUCGUGAGACAUCCUGGAGGUAUCGGAAGUGAGAAUGCUGACAUGAGUAACGAUAAAGGGAGUGAGAGACUCCCUCGCCGAAAGUCCAAGGGUUCCUGCUUAAAGUUAAUCUGAGCAGGGUUAGCCGGCCCCUAAGGCGAGGCCGAAAGGCGUAGUCGAUGGGAACCACGUUAAUAUUCGUGGGCCUGCAGGUAGUGACGGAUCGCGUGUGUUGUGAGGUCUUAUUGGAUUGAUCUUGCAGCGAAGCGGUUCCAGGAAAUAGCUCCUGCAUAUAGACCGUACCCUAAACCGACACUGGUGGACUGGUA